AUUGAACGCUGGCGGCAUGCCUUACACAUGCAAGUCGAACGGCAGCACGGGUGCUUGCACCUGGUGGCGAGUGGCGAACGGGUGAGUAAUACAUCGGAACGUACCUUAUCGUGGGGGAUAACGCAGCGAAAGCUGUGCUAAUACCGCAUACGCCCUGAGGGGGAAAGCGGGGGAUCGCAAGACCUCGCGCGAUUAGAGCGGCCGAUGCCUGAUUAGCUUGUUGGUGGGGUAAAAGCCCACCAAGGGGAAGAUCAGUAGCUGGUCUGAGAGGACGAGCAGCCACACUGGGACUGAGACACGGCCCAGACUCCUACGGGAGGAAGAAGUGGGGAAUUUUGGACAAUGGGGGCAACCCGGAUCCAGCAAUGCCGCGUGAGUGAAGAAGGCCUUCGGGUUGUAAAGCUCUUUUGUCAGGGAAGAAACACCGGCUCUAACACAGUCCGGGAAUGACGGUACCUGAAGAAUAAGCACCGGCUAACUACGUGCCAGCAGCCGCAGUAA
rnacentral:rRNA from 1 species